UGGGGAAUAUUGCACAAUGGGCGCAAGCCUGAUGCAGCGACGCCGCGUGAGCGAAGAAGUAUUUCGGUAUGUAAAGCUCUAUCAGCAGGGAAGAAAAUGACGGUACCUGACUAAGAAGCUCCGGCUAAAUACGUGCCAGCAGCCGCGGUAAUACGUAUGGAGCAAGCGUUAUCCGGAUUUACUGGGUGUAAAGGGAGCGUAGACGGAAAGGCAAGUCUGAUGUGAAAGGCGGGGGCUCAACUCCUGGACUGCAUUGGAAACUGUCCUUCUUGAGUGCCGGAGAGGUAAGCGGAAUUCCUAGUG
rnacentral:rRNA from 1 species